UAUAAAGAUAUGAAAAAUAAAUCCUCUUUUGCAACCCAGAACUCAUCAUUCAGUAUGAGUUUUGAAACAUACAAGAAGGAACAUG
rfam:Pteropus alecto contig38628, whole genome shotgun sequence.